UGAGUGUGUGUGUGAUUCUCUCUCACUCUCUCUCGCCCGUCCUCCCUCUUUUCCUGUCACACGCUGCCGAACACGGCCGUCACACACACACACACACACACACACACACACACACACAUUUUUUCGGAUCUGAUGUCACCGCGCUAUCCGGUCUCGUCAUUCCUCCUUUCUUUUCAGCGCUCGCCAUUUCCAUUUCCGGCGUGCCGCAUCCGGACCGUCAAGCGAGCAAAAAUACAACAUUAACGUUCUUAUCAAUGAUAAAGAACACAUUUUCUGAAGAUUUAGUUUUUCGACUAGAUUUUGGAGUGAUGACGUGAGGAUUUGUCCAUUCAGCCACGAGCGUUACUGACCUGGUGUGUAAUCAGCGUUCCAAUUCACCCCAAAGAUGUUCAGUGGGGUUGAGGUCAAGGCUCUGUACAGGCCUCUCGAGUUCUUCCAUUCCAACCUUGGCAAACCAUGUCUUCAUGGACCUCGCUUUGAGUGUACCUCAACAAGAAAACAUUUUUCAUGACAUUCAUGCAUUAUUUGCCGUAUUUGCAACAUUAUUUGCAGUCAGUGACGGCUGGACGAGAUAUUAGAUGGGAGGGAAGAAAUAUCUCAAAAAAGCUUGACAAUGACAAAUGAGGUCUCAUCCCUGACAUAAGAAUAUUGUGGAACAAACUAUUACAAACAUACACUUAAAAGCAGAUAGGCAGCUUCGUUCAUUAUUUCUAAUGCUUCAAGUCUACAAUGCUCUACUGAGUUCAUGUUUCCUCUGAAUGCCAAACAUAGUAAACAACUAACGUGUCUGUCAUCUUAACUUUUGUGUAAAUUGUACUUUGAUUGAAGAAUGUGUGCUUAGCCUAUUAUGUUAUUACUCUCUCAUCCAAAAGCAUUUUUGGGAUUAAAAAAAUUGAAUUAAAAGUCUAAAUAAUCCAAUUAAUUUAUGUUCAUUACACCCGCAAAUUUAAUUUACAUACAUAUUCUCAAUAGCUGCUGAUAAGGUGCUACAGCUGUAUCAGUGGCAUGGACUGAAAAAUAUGUUAAAAAUGACACUUAGAUUGAUGUCUUUUUGUUGUCGAAUGACAGCCCUGUUAGCCCAGUUAUACCAGCUGCCUGUCUGCAGUGCUUCCAAGUUAUCUGGUGGAGAAAUAUAAUAUUCUUGGAAAAUAAGUGCAAGUCACAUUUGAGUUGGCACAUAAGAGGUGCUCUAUAGGUGUUUUUAUCAAAUAAAUGAUAAAAGUUGUGACUGACUGACAUCCUGUCCAUCCUCACAUCCAGUGCUUCCACCACUUUCCUGACCAGGACAAAGCAGUUACUGAAUAAUGACUGACUGAAUGUAUGCAUGAAUAAAUGAAUGAUGGCACAGCAA